rnacentral:rRNA from 1 species
GUCCACGCCCUAAACGAUGUCGACUGGUUGUUGGGGUUUGACACUCUCAGUAACGAAGCUAACGCGUGAAGUCGACCGCCUGGGGAGUACGGCCGCAAGGUUAAAACUCAAAGGAAUUGACGGGGACCCGCACAAGCGGUGGAUUAUGUGGAUUAAUUCGAUGCAACGCGAAAACCUUACCUACCCUUGACAUGUCCGAGAGGCUGAAGAGAUUCAGCUGUGCCCGAAAGGGAAUCGGAACACAGGUGCUGCAUGGCUGUCGU